rnacentral:miRNA from 1 species
GCGGGUUGUGGAGGGUGGAA